GCUGGGCGUGGUGGUGUGCGCCUGUAAUCCCAGCUACUUGGGAGGCUGAGACAGGAGACUCACUUGAACCUGGGAGGCGGAGGUUGCAGUGAGCCGAGACUGCGCCAUUGCACUCCAGCCUGGGUGACAGAGUGAGAUUCUGUCUCAA
rnacentral:SRP_RNA from 1 species